CCUACGGGAGGCAGCAGUGGGGAAUAUUGGACAAUGGGCGAAAGCCUGAUCCAGCAAUGCCGCGUGAGUGAUGAAGGCCUUCGGGUCGUAAAGCUCUUUUACCAGGGAUGAUAAUGACAGUACCUGGAGAAUAAGCUCCGGCUAACUCCGUGCCAGCAGCCGCGGUAAUACGGAGGGAGCUAGCGUUGUUCGGAAUUACUGGGCGUAAAGAGUACGUAGGCGGUUAUUCAAGUCAGAGGUGAAAGCCCGGGGCUCAACCCCGGAACUGCCUUUGAAACUAGAUAACUAGAGUCUUGGAGAGGUUAGUGGAAUUCCGAGUGUAGAGGUGAAAUUCGUAGAUAUUCGGAAGAACACCAGUGGCGAAGGCGGCUAACUGGACAAGUACUGACGCUGAGGUACGAAAGCGUGGGGAGCAAACAGGAUUAGAUACCCUGGUAGUCCACGCCGUAAACGAUGAUAACUAGUUGUUCGGUCACUUGGUGACUGAGUGACGCAGCUAACGGCAUUAAGUUAUCCGCCUGGGGAGUACGGGUCGCAAGAUUAAAACUCAAAGGAAUUGACGG
rnacentral:rRNA from 1 species